rnacentral:rRNA from 1 species
AGAGUUUGAUCAUGGCUCAGAACGAACGCUGGCGGCAGGCCUAACACAUGCAAGUCGAACGCCCCGCAAGGGGAGUGGCAGACGGGUGAGUAACGCGUGGGAACAUACCCUUCGGUUCGGAAUAGCUCAGGGAAACUUGGAUUAAUACCGGAUACGUCCGUAAGGAGAAAGAUUUAUCGCCGAAGGAUUGGCCCGCGUCUGAUUAGCUUGUUGGUGAGGUAAUGGCUCACCAAGGCGACGAUCAGUAGCUGGUCUGAGAGGAUGACCAGCCACAUUGGGACUGAGACACGGCCCAAACUCCUACGGGAGGCAGCAGUGGGGAAUAUUGGACAAUGGGCGAAAGCCUGAUCCAGCCAUGCCGCGUGAGUGAUGAAGGCCUUAGGGUUGUAAAGCUCUUUUACCCGGGAAGAUAAUGACGGUACCGGGAGAAUAAGCCCCGGCUAACUUCGUGCCAGCAGCCGCGGUAAUACGAAGGGGGCUAGCGUUGUUCGGAAUUACUGGGCGUAAAGCGCACGUAGGCGGAUUUUUAAGUCAGGGGUGAAAUCCCGAGGCUCAACCUCGGAACUGCCUUUGAUACUGGGAAUCUUGAGUCCGGGAGAGGUGAGUGGAACUGCGAGUGUAGAGGUGAAAUUCGUAGAUAUUCGCAAGAACACCAGUGGCGAAGGCGGCUCACUGGCCCGGUACUGACGCUGAGGUGCGAAAGCGUGGGGAGCAAACAGGAUUAGAUACCCUGGUAGUCCACGCCGUAAACGAUGGAUGCUAGCCGUUAGACAGCUUGCUGUUUAGUGGCGCAGUUAACGCUUUAAGCAUCCCGC